AUUUCUCAUUCGUGUAACACAUCCCCAGAUCCCAUACGCAUAGUUCAAUCGCCAUGGAGUCAAAGUCUAUUACAGUUCUUCGGUAUGCGAUUGACUCCAUGGGAAGGCUAUCUGGGGUAAGUCCAUUCGUGCCUUUAAAUCUCCCGAACGGCUGGUCUUCGCACACUUCUGUCGAUUGAGAAGGGAGGUCGACGGCAUCAGCGGUAUUCGGUUGAAAAAGUGUCCGUUUUCAGUUCCAUGAAUUUAGUACCGAACACCGCUGGUCUUUCGCAUGGUUUAAAAUGGCCGCCGCCUCGUGGUUGGCAUACGAACGACGACCAC